GGAGCUGCAUUGUGUUGUCAGCCGGCUUUUAUCGUUUUAGGUUGUACAGUUUGUUAGUUUACCGUAAAUAUGUCAUGAUUUAUACUCAAGAGUGGAGCAAGGCCCGAGGGAACAGAGACUGACGCAUCGUGAGCGAAGAACAGACGCGAUGGAUGGUUAGGCUGCUUGACUCUCGGCUGUACGACUCUCGGCAUGUUAGGACUAGCAAAGUUCCGAAUUUGUCGCGGUGUGGUGUACGCUUCUGUGCUCGUCAAGUGCCGUCCUAGCGCGGGGAUGUUUGAACGGAGUGUGUCCCUUCGUCUACAAAACUCUGCACGCUGCGGCAUCGAAGAAGUCCUGUGAACGGGUGCACGUAUGCGCUUGGAUACGGGAUAGCCUGCCCUCAACGGAUGUUCAACAGUGUACGCACGCUGCGCGUACGCGUACGUAUGAGACUAGUUGCUGGUGUCCUGCUGGAGCUGAGAAAUCUGCUGCCUGCCAUGAGGCCAUGUCUCUCAAGUUACCGCAAUAUUAUUGCCUUCAAACCUGUCGAGACAAGGUUUCUUUACAUGGCCAUGGCCCUCAAGGAAGAAACCGAGACUGCAGACUGCCAACGUUCAUUCCUGUUUUUGCAAAGACGGGCCAGCAGUAACGAGCUGGGUUUUACAAAGUGAACUCAUCACAGCUUGAGCCACUCCAUGCCACAAGCAGUUGCUCGUCGAGCCACCGUGUAAAGGUUCCUUGGGGCUCAAGUCCAACUCAGCGCCACCACCUCUCUUCUGCAGUUUUUCUACCUACUUAGCUAACCAGCAGCAAGUUUAUCCUUGCAAGGCAUGUGGGAACAGCUUUCACCAGGAAACAGUGCAAGACGAGUGCUCGAAGAAAAUAAAAUUGCUUCUGUGAUCUAAGGUACUUGACGAAUAAAAUUUUGCACUUAUUUGUAUAUAUGUUGUGCAAUUCAUUCAUAU